GGGCAUAUCGGCGUGCUCCAGGUCCUAUAAAAAACCUGAGGAGCAGCACAAGGUCGUUGCCUUGAAUUACUCUUUCACACUUUCUAUACUGCACCUGUCUCUGCAUCUCCUGUCAGGAGCCCCUUUUCAUUUCCACUUUUUCUUCUGGCUUAUCUGCCUUACCCUUGCACUUUUUAAUGGAUUGCUAAAGCUGAAUCCUCCCAAGACUGGAGAAGAGAGGCAGGAGACUGAUGAGCAAUCUGGCAAUCUGUCAUGCACAAAUGUCAAAACCUAGGAGGAGACCUUAUAAAGGAAAAAUGUCAUGUGUUAUGGUAAAAUCUAUCCGGUUCUGAAGAGCAUCUUACGACGCAGACAGAGCAAGCGGCUGCCCCUCUCCAGGCAGUUUUUAUGCAUUAGGUGAAGGUGUCAUGGGAUACUGCCACUCAAAAGUAAUGCUCUGCUAAAGCUGUCCGGAUAAGAAUGGGUGAUCAUUCCAGUUCCAGGAGACAACACACAUGUCCAGCUGUGUGAAAAGGAGGAGACAAAUACACUUACAAAUUCCAAAUAAAGAAGGCUUCAACUGGAAAAAUGUCCCUGUUGCAACAUGUAACUGCAUCCCCACCCUUAAAAAACCCCAGACAGAUAGUUUCUGCCUUUUGCAGUCAUUCAUUUACCUCUAUUUAACAAGAAAUCUGAGAAUAUCAUGCAGCUGUCUGCAUUCCCCUUGCAGCUGGAAUAAAUUUUUAGAUUUAUUCAGAUUAAUUUGAGACUAGAAAUAUUAGUACACCUUUACCAUUCUCAAAAUCCAAUGUACUCAUUUGACACUCCAACCAACCUAUGUUUUGUUUGCCUUCACAACUGCCGAUCAGCUUGGCAAUGGACCAAAUCCCAAGUCAGGAUGCUCCGGUGCUUAGUGAACCCUGAAAAGCACCAGAUCAGUGGGAGCUUCAGGGUAUGCAGCACCUUCCAGAAUCACCUGUUUUGGUGUCACGGAUGUUGGCAUCUUGUCCUUAAGUGGUUAACAAGGGUAUACUUGACCACAUGGUAUGCUCAGGAAGACACUCCACCCAGACACCAAUUGUUGGGCUUUUUUUAACACUUAACCCUCGUUUCUUUCCUCAGCACCUCUAGUGAUUAUCUUCCUAUGCAUUACCCUGCUUUGGUGGAUAAACUCUCAGAAGCCUAGCUCUCCAAAUGCACUGGAGAAGAAGCUGGGCUGUGAAAUCCAGGCAGCAGGAAGGCACUCCAACCCUUUUUUGUUGUUUUAAACCUUGUUGGACAUUUUGGUUUCUCUGAACUCUGGAAGCCAAUUCACAUAAGUAGGUAGAUGGAGACCUGCAAUUCCUUAUAUUAAGGCAGAGCCUCUUGUUAGUGCAUUCAUCUACAGCUAGGCAGAUUACAGGCAGGGAUUUUUUCUGUGUAAGAGAGAAAUUUAGUUUAGACUGCUUCUCUGAGGACUUUACUGUUUGGAAACAGAAACUGCUACCUAGAAAAAAAGAACACCAAAAGCAGAGGCUCAAAGCUGCUUUAUGAACCUAGGCUUAUGGCAAUAGCAGUUAGGUGUUCAAACGCCUUCUAAACAUGGCCUUAUGGACCUUCUUGUCUUUGCAUACACAGCCAUAUUUUGAACCACUUAGGAAUGUUAUGAUUUGUGGUUUGAUAUGGCCUGUGGUUUCAAAAUGAUGCUGAGCUUGUCAUUGAGGUUACCCUGGAGAGACAGACAGAUUUGUUUAGAUCGUUCUUUUCCAGUCUUUGCUAAUCUUUUCACUCUUUAGAGGACUUUGUGCAAACUGUAACAUCUAAGAGGCUUCCAGAAUUACAGAGGUCCCAAAAGAAUACAAAAGAGUACAAAAAUGCAUGGGGCAACACUGGCAAAUUUGAUCACGGGGUUCAGCUCCCCCCCACUUUCAAGACCCUUUAUGAAACUUGCAUAACCCCUUAGUCCAAUUAAAUAAAUAGUUAAAUGAAGUUACUGUAGCUUCACAGGGAGACCUAGCUUUCGGUUCCCAUUGUUCCUGUCACAGUCCUAUGCACUGAGGUGCAAGGAUGCCAAGGAAGCUGGUUUGAUCAGUGCUGCUCAGUCCCAGAAACAUAAAUUGCAGAUUUAUUGGUUUCCUUCCCAAUGUGCAGCUAUCAGGCUGAUGGCUCCCAUUGAUUCUGCAUGGAGUCCCGAAUGGUUGGCACUGCUGGGAAGUUCAGCUCUGUAUUUUGUUGGAACCAGCAUGAUUUUUUUGAAGCCUACAUUCUCUACGGUCAGUGCUCUGGAUUUCCUGAUCCCACCAUUUCCUGGUACCAAAGACUAAGGAAGAAAAAUCUGCAGAUGGUAUAAACUGGCAAAAUCAAUAAAAGUCUGGCUUGUAACCUCUCCCUACAAUCUUCAUAAUCCAAAUUAAGUUGGAGGGAUAUGAAGAAUGAUAUAAAGAUAUAAUGUUUUACAUAAAAAAUUAAUGGUAACCAUAAACACAGGCACCUUUCUCCCUGUAUAACAUUAACUGCCACCUGAAAUUAAGAAUCUUCUCUAUCUUUUUAAAAUAUUAGAUUUUUGCUAUUGCAUUAUACAGAAAAUAAAAAUGUUCCACUUGUAUUAGUUUGAGAUGUUACAUACUGAAACAAUACUCUUUUAUAGUGGUUUUAAUACAAGAUAGAUGAAUGUGUUGGAUAUUGUAUGUUUUCAAACAAAGAAAAAACACGCAAAUUAAGUGAAGGUCAAAUUUCUUGUGGUUGAACCCAUGAAGUAAAUACAGAACAUAUUUUGUUUGGAUCUUGGGGGAACAAACUGUUUUUAUGGUGAACUAGUCAUAUUACACUAAAGCAAGCACUGUGAUGUAUUGCAUUUCAAAAUCACAUAUUUAUAAAAUAGGGAAUGUACUGGCAUCCAACAUAAUGAGUCUCAAUCACAAAAACUGGAAACAAUUCUGAAAAGUGAAAACUUGAAAAAAUUCACUUUUAUUUUCUAAAUGGUAACAUACAAAGCAGGAAAAAAACCUGCACUGAAUGCUGAUGUAAACCUUCAUAUCGCUAGGACCUGAUAGUGAAAAUCUGUUUAUCAUACAUGACUUUCUUACAUGAGUCUAAGUCAGACUGGUCAUUCAGAUUGGCUACAUUUGAAACGUUCUGUCUUGCUAAACCCCGCUAACCUCCCCAUGAUCCUGGUCUUCAUGAUGCAGUAUUUUACCUUAAUUCCCAUGCUUGUGUUUCACUAGGAAAAUGUAUGAUAAAAAUAAACAUGGUACAUCAUCUUUAUUGA